CAGCCGCCGCGGGAAUACCGAGGGUGCGAGCGUUAAUCGGAUUUACUGGGCGUAAAGCGUGCGUAGGCGGCUUCUUAAGUCGGAUGUGAAAUCCCUGAGCUUAACUUAGGAAUUGCAUUCGAUACUGGGAAGCUAGAGUAUGGGAGAGGAUGGUAGAAUUCCAGGUGUAGCGGUGAAAUGCGUAGAGAUCUGGAGGAAUACCGAUGGCGAAGGCAGCCAUCUGGCCUAAUAUUGACGCUGAGGUACGAAAGCAUGGGGAGCAAACAGGAUUAGAUACCCCUGUAGUCCCUGUCUCUUAUAC
rnacentral:rRNA from 1 species